CCCGGACCUUAACCCCCUGGAUUAUGUCAUAUGGCAGGUUAUUGAGGAGAAAGCCUGUGCUAAGCCCCACACAAAUCUUGACUCCCUCAAGCGGGCCAUAGUUAAGACAGUGACGGAAUUAGACAUGACAAUCGUGCGUGCCGCUAUUGAUGACUGGCCUCGUCGUUUGAUGGCCUGUGUCAAGGCCAGAGGAGGCCAUUUUGAAUGAUAUUGUCAUAUGUAAUUCCUGAUUUUGUGUACUUCAUUUUAAUAUAUAGUUUAUUCAACUUUCUUCCGUAUAUUUUAUGUAGAUAAAGAUUAUUGCAGUAACAGAAUUUAGUAACCAACUAGGUAAUUCUGCUUUUAACGAUCUCUACUAUAGUUGACAAAUAGUAUUCGCAAUUCGGACCAUAUCUUACAAACUUUUUUUACAAAAAAGUUGUCGAUUGAACUGUCAAUUGAUGCUCGUUAUUUCAUUAUUUCAGUAUUAUUUUAUAGAAAUUUGCCUUGGAUUCAUUUGUUCCCCUGUGCGUUUGGCCAAAAUGAGGAUAAGGGACAGCUCUAUCUAUCGGAUACUCCACCGAACACUGUCUAUGACCGUAAUAUGAUAAGAUUCAUAUACUAGCCGUGUCUUAUCCAACCUCGACAUUGGCAGAAACAACACCUUGAUGGAGCCAUAACAUGAAAAAUUGAUUGAUUGUAUAGAAAUUUUCGUUUUGUUUUAUUGCAAUAAUUAAACUUAAUUGUUAGAAUACCUUAAGAAAACGUGAGUGAAAUAAUGACGAAGACUGAUUAAUUUUUUUCAGGUUGUAUAUUUACCUUCCAAAUAUGUUCUCACUACUGUCAUGAAAAGUUCUGUGUACUACACGAGAUCAAAGUUAUUUACAUCUCGUGCGCUUUUGGGUCUCUUACUACGCUCAAGAUUCUAAAUUAGACAAUCUAUCGCUUGCACGGGACUCAAGCACUAGAAGAAAUAUCAAACUUUGCUCUCUUGUUGUACAAAUGACUAUUUUCUGUUUGUAAGGUAGAGUAACAAAACUGACACAGCUGGAGUCCGUCUAAGCUUAAACUUUGCACCAAUUAAUGGUUGUUCAAUAGAUGUAGGUUCUUAUAUUGUAUUUUAUAAAAUUAUACAAUAAAUUAUUAUGAUUAUGA